AACGGGUGAGUAACACGUGGGCAAUCUGCCCUUCACUCUGGGACAAGCCCUGGAAACGGGGUCUAAUACCGGAUAACACUCCUCAGAGCAUUCUGGGGGGUUAAAAGCUCCGGCGGUGAAGGAUGAGCCCGCGGCCUAUCAGCUUGUUGGUGGGGUAAUGGCCUACCAAGGCGACGACGGGUAGCCGGCCUGAGAGGGCGACCGGCCACACUGGGACUGAGACACGGCCCAGACUCCUACGGGAGGCAGCAGUGGGGAAUAUUGCACAAUGGGCGAAAGCCUGAUGCAGCGACGCCGCGUGAGGGAUGACGGCCUUCGGGUUGUAAACCUCUUUCAGCAGGGAAGAAGCGAAAGUGACGGUACCUGCAGAAGAAGCGCCGGCUAACUACGUGCCAGCAGCCGCGGUAAUACGUAGGGCGCAAGCGUUGUCCGGAAUUAUUGGGCGUAAAGAGCUCGUAGGCGGCUUGUCACGUCGGAUGUGAAAGCCCGGGGCUUAACCCCGGGUCUGCAUUCGAUACGGGCUAGCUAGAGUGUGGUAGGGGAGAUCGGAAUUCCUGGUGUAGCGGUGAAAUGCGCAGAUAUCAGGAGGAACACCGGUGGCGAAGGCGGAUCUCUGGGCCAUUACUGACGCUGAGGAGCGA
rnacentral:rRNA from 1 species